CCCCUUUACCCUCAACUACGCGCGCUAGCCCCUCGCCCCGCCCCCUUCGCCUCGCGACGAGACGCAGCUUCAGCGAGGACGAGUGGAAGGGGCGGGACGAAGCGUCGAUAGUGACGUACUUGAGAGGAGGGAGCCGGUUGCCAGGAGACGGGUCAAGAGGGAGAGCCACAAGUUUAGCGUGAACAACACAGAAUACUGGAAAUUUCAGCUGGAAGAAACAAAGAAAAGAAAAUACAAAGAAGAAAAAGAAAAGAGAUGCGUCUUCCAUGGCUGCAUAGUUUGGCAAUCAUUUCCAUGAUGAAUAAGUUGCCUGCAGGAAAUGAAAAAUGCCUUGUCAAUUCUGAAAUAAAAAGCCCAACUGCAGAUAUGCAAAAAAGGUAGGCAGAACAAUGUCUUAUUUUAUGUGAAAAGAUGCCAUCUUAGGUCUGAAGGAGAUGUCUGGUCUUAAAACCACUUUGUCCUUAUGGAAUCUCAGGAAUAGUGAAUCAAAUCUGGUCGAUGCAAUGGCUACCAAAAUGUCUUCAAAGAAAGUCCUUAAAGAAAGAUACUUGAGAAUAGAAUGUAGCCAUAGUUAAAAAUGUUAAAUAAAAAUAGUUCCAAAUAGUUUUGUCCUGAGCAUUGACAAAACUAGGGAGAGUUACCAAAGUGAAAUCAGUUCCUUUAUGGUCAGAGACAGAUUACUAGCACCCCCUCAUAAACUUUUUAACAAAAGGGUGAGAAAACUGUAGGACAGGAUGGCUGUUCAACUCCUAAGAGAAAAAACCACCAUAGUGAGAACUC